rnacentral:rRNA from 1 species
AGUGAACGCUGGCGGUAGGCCUAACACAUGCAAGUCGAACGGCAGCACAGUAAGAGCUUGCUCUUACGGGUGGCGAGUGGCGGACGGGUGAGGAAUACAUCGGAAUCUACUUUUUCGGGGGGGAUAACGUAGGGAAACUUACGCUAAUACCGCAUACGACCUACGGGGGAAAGCAGGGGAUAUUCGGACCUUGCGCGAUUGAAUGAGCCGAUGUCGGAUUAGCUAGUUGGCGGGGUAAAGGCCCACCAAGGGGACGAUCCGUAGCUGGUCUGAGAGGAUGGUCGCCCGCCCUGGAACUUAGCCACGGUCCAGACUCCUACGGGAGGCACCAGUGGGGAAUAUUGGACAAUGGGCGCAAGCCUUAUCCAGCCAUCCCGCGUGGGUGAAGACGGCCUUCGGGUUGUAAAGCCCUCUUGUUGGUAAAGAACAGCAGCAGGUUAAUACCCCGCUGUUCUGACGGUACCCAAAGAAUAAGCACCGGCUAACUUCGUG